rnacentral:rRNA from 1 species
CCUACGGGUGGCAGCAGUGGGGAAUAUUGCACAAUGGGCGCAAGCCUGAUGCAGCCAUGCCGCGUGUGUGAAGAAGGCCUUCGGGUUGUAAAGCACUUUCAGCGGGGAGGAAGGCGUUAAGGUUAAUAACCUUGUCGAUUGACGUUACCCGCAGAAGAAGCACCGGCUAACUCCGUGCCAGCAGCCGCGGUAAUACGGAGGGUGCAAGCGUUAAUCGGAAUUACUGGGCGUAAAGCGCACGCAGGCGGUCUGUCAAGUCGGAUGUGAAAUCCCCGGGCUCAACCUGGGAACUGCAUUCGAAACUGGCAGGCUAGAGUCUUGUAGAGGGGGGUAGAAUUCCUGGUGUAGCGGUGAAAUGCGUAGAGAUCUGGAGGAAUACCGGUGGCGAAGGCGGCCCCCUGGACAAAGACUGACGCUCAGGUGCGAAAGCGUGGGGAGCAAACAGGAUUAGAUACCCGGGUAGUC